CCGAGUUCAUGCCCUUACGGGUAGAUCUCCCACCCUAUGUUAUAUAUUACCUUUGUUGCUUUGGCAGGCCGUCAGGCUUCGGUCAGGCUACCGGCUCCGGCUGGUAAGCGCCUGCCAGAGGACCCCAAACUCUGAAUGUUAGUGUCGUCUGAGUACUAUAUAAUAGUUA
rnacentral:misc_RNA from 1 species